GAUCAAUGAUGAAAAUAGCCAAAAUCUGAGCAUCAGAAGACCUUCCAGUAUCCCUGAAGCGUGAUCUCUAUAGUUCUGGGA
ensembl:snoRNA